rnacentral:rRNA from 1 species
AAGAAACCCAGGGAACUGAAACAUCUAAGUACCUGGAGGAAAGGAGAACAAUUAGUGAUUCCGCAAGUAGUGGCGAGCGAACGCGGAAAAGCCCUAAAGUCUAUAUAUAAGGAGUAGAACAUGAUGGGAAUCAUGACCAUAGAAGGUGAAAGUCCUGUAAGCGAAGAUAUAUAUAGAUGAAACGAGUAAGGCGGAACCGGAGAAAUUCUGUCUGAAUAUAGCUGCACCAUCAGCUAAGGCUAAAUACUCCCGAGAGACCGAUAGUGAACUAGUACUGUGAAGGAAAGGUGAAAAGAACCCUAAAAAAGGGAGUGAAAAGAUCCUGAAACCGUACGCUUACAAGCGGUCGGAGCACUUCGGUGUGACGGCGUGCCUUUUGCAUAAUGAGCCUACGAGUUACUCCUCACUAGCAAGCUUAAGUACUUUAGGUACGGAGGCGCAGCGAAAGCGAGUCUGAAUAGGGCGAUUAAGUUAGUGGGGGUAGACGCGAAACCUGGUGAUCUACCCAUGGGCAGGUUGAAGCUUCGAUAGUAUCGAAGUGGAGGACCGAACCGGUAUAUGUUGAAAAAUGUUCGGAUGACCUGUGGGUAGGGGUGAAAGGCCAAUCAAACCAGGAGAUAGCUCGUACUCCCCGAAAUGCAUUUAGGUGCAGCGUCGUGAAGAGUGUCAUGGAGGUAGAGCUACCGAUAGGGCUAGGGGGCUUCACCGCCUACCAACCCCUGACGAACUCCGAAUGCCAUGACAUUGCAGCGGCAGUGAGGCUAUGGGUGCUA